GACGAACGCUGGCGGCGUGCUUAACACAUGCAAGUCGAACGGAAAGGCCCUGCUUUUGUGGGGUGCUCGAGUGGCGAACGGGUGAGUAACACGUGAGUAACCUGCCCUUGACUUUGGGAUAACUUCAGGAAACUGGGGCUAAUACCGGAUAGGAGCUCCUGCUGCAUGGUGGGGGUUGGAAAGUUUCGGCGGUUGGGGAUGGACUCGCGGCUUAUCAGCUUGUUGGUGGGGUAGUGGCUUACCAAGGCUUUGACGGGUAGCCGGCCUGAGAGGGUGACCGGCCACAUUGGGACUGAGAUACGGCCCAGACUCCUACGGGAGGCAGCAGUGGGGAAUAUUGCACAAUGGGCGGAAGCCUGAUGCAGCAACGCCGCGUGCGGGAUGGCGGCCUUCGGGUUGUAAACCGCUUUCGCCUGUGACGAAGCGUGAGUGACGGUAAUGGGUACAGAAGCACCGGCUAACUACGUG
rnacentral:rRNA from 1 species